UCUACGGGUGGCAGCAGUGAGGAAUAUUGGUCAAUGGGCGCGAGCCUGAACCAGCCAAGUAGCGUGAAGGAUGACUGCCCUACGGGUUGUAAACUUCUUUUAUAAAGGAAUAAAGUGAGGCACGUGUGCCUUUUUGUAUGUACUUUAUGAAUAAGGAUCGGCUAACUCCGUGCCAGCAGCCGCGUUAAUACGGAGGAUCCGAGCGUUAUCCGGAUUUAUUGGGUUUAAAGGGGGCGUAGAUGGGUUGUUAAGUCAGUGGUGAAAGGUGGGGGCUUAACCGUAAAAUUGCAAUUGAUACUGGCGGCCUUGAGUACAGUUGAGGUAGGCGGAAUGCGUGGUGUAGCGGUGAAAUGCUUAGAUAUCACGCAGAACUCCGAUUGCGAAGGCAGCUUACUAAACUGCCACUGACGUUGAUGCUCGAAAGUGUGGGUAUCAAACAGGAUUAGAUACCCUAGUAGUC
rnacentral:rRNA from 1 species